GAUGAACGCUGGCGGCGUGCCUAAUACAUGCAAGUCGAGCGGACGGUCGCGAUGCUUUUUGCUCUGAUGGUGGGGGUGGAGGGGUGGGUAACGCGUGGAUACGCUAGCUAUAAGACUGGGAUAACCUCGAAAAACCGUAGCUAAUACCAGAGAAUAUUUUGAACCACCAGGUUGAAAAGUGAAAGACGGUCUUGCGGUCACUGAUAGAUGGACCCGCGCCGCAUUAGCUAGCUGGUAAGGUAACUGCUUAACAAGGCAACGAAGCAAAGACGACACCAAAGGGAGAACGGCCACACUAGAACUGAGACAGGGCCCAGACUCCUAAAGUAGGCAGCAGUACGGAAUCUUACGCGAUGGGCGAAUGCGUGACAUAGCAAAGGGGCGCGAGUGAUGAAGGUCUUCGGCUCGUAAAACACUGCGACUAGGGAAGAACAAAGGUCUAUUGACCGGUGCAAAGAAGGACGGUACCGAUUGAGAAAGCCACGGCUAACUACGUG
rnacentral:rRNA from 1 species